rnacentral:rRNA from 1 species
CUACGUAGGGUGCAAGCGUUACUCGGAAUCACUGGGCGUAAAGCGCGCGCAGGCGGGCUGAUAAGUUGGAUGUGAAAGCCUACGGCUCAACCGUAGAACUGCAUCCAAAACUAUUAGACUAGAGUGUGGGAGAGGAAGAUGGAAUUAGUUGUGUAGGGGUAAAAUCCGUAGAGAUAACUAGGAAUACCAAAAGCGAAGGCAAUCUUCUGGAACACUACUGACGCUGAGGCGCGAAAGCGUGGGGAGCAAACAGGAUUAGAAACCCUAGAAGUCC